UACGUAGGGACCAAGCGUUGUCCGGAAUUAUUGGGCGUAAAGAGCUCGUAGGCGGCUGUCCACGUCGGAUGUGGAAAGCUCGGGCUCAACCCUGAGAGGCCAUUCGAUACGGGACGGCUAGAGGUAGGUAGGGGAGAUUGGAAUUCCUGGUGUAGCGGUGAAAUGCGCAGAUAUCAGGAGGAACACCGGUGGCGAAGGCGGAUCUCUGGGCCUUACCUGACGCUGAGGAGCGAAAGCUGGGGGAGCAAACAGG
rnacentral:rRNA from 1 species